AGAAUCAACGCUGGCGGCGUGCCUAACACAUGCAAGUCGAGCGCGAAAGGGGAGUAAUCCCCGAGUAGAGCGGCGAACGGGUGAGUAACGCGUGGGUAAUCUACCUCCGAGUGGGGAAUAACAGCGGGAAACUGCUGCUAAUACCGCAUGACAUCGUCGAGCCUUCGGGCCUGACGAUCAAAGCCGGGGACCGCAAGGCCUGGCGCUUGGAGAGGAGCCCGCGUCCGAUUAGCUAGUUGGCGGGGUAAUGGCCCACCAAGGCUCCGAUCGGUA
rnacentral:rRNA from 1 species